rnacentral:lncRNA from 9 species
UUUUUUUUUUUUUUUUUUUUUAGGGCCACGCUCACAGCAUAAGAAGGUUCCCAGGCUAGGGGUUGAAUUGGAGCUAUAGCCACUGGCCUACGCCACAGCCACAGCCACACUAGAUCCAAGCUCUGUCUGCAACCUACACCACAGCUCACGGCAACCCCAGAUCCUUAACCCACUGAGCAAGGCCAGGGAUUGAACCUGCAUCCUCAAGGGUGCUAGUCAGAGUCAUUUCCACUAAGCCAUGAUGGGAACUCCUAAAAUAAUUUCUCAUAUAAUCCAUUUUUUGAAUGUUACCUUAGAUCUACCUUACCUAACCUUCUCAGGCUUCUCUACAGAAACAAAUGAAUUUAGAGAUAUCCCUGAUCCUGCUGAAAUGUUUUCUACCCCCAGCCAUCACCAGCACCAAUACACACGUACUCACCCAACAACUUAGGUAGAGGGAAGAUUCAGAGACCAGACAAAAUAAGUGAAAUACAUGAACGAUGAGAGUUCAGGGCAGGCUCAAAGUCAAGUAGGAAAAGGGCCAGAAAAUCAUUUUUCUUGAUGUUCUCCAACAGCCCCUUUUCAGCAUGUCUUGCCAUUUUCUAUCUCUCAUUCCAUUUAAAAUUUAACUCUUCACAAUUUGUGAAUGUGUAUUAAAACGUGAAAUCCAUAUGUGCCUUGGCCCAGCGACUUAAUUUCUAGAACACUAUCCUAUUAAAAUGUGCAUAUGAAAACAAAAACCAAAAAAAAUGUAUAAAUGUGAGUGCAUCAUUUAGGAGUCACUCAGUUGCAAGGAACAGAAUGGCCAACUCAUACACUUGAGUGUAUUUUACAAUGCACUAGUGAAAACAAUUUUUUAAUGCACUAGUGGAAGCUUGGAAAGAGUGGGACGUCAAGGAGGGUUUGAUUCGGCAAAAUUCAAAAAUGCCAUCAAAGACUCAAUUCACUUCUGUCUUUGCCCUUUGCAUCACUGUCAGCUUUAUCCUAAGGAUAAAGCCUUGUGAUCAAGAUACUUGUCCUUGCCUGUAUCUGGGGAGAAGAAAGUUUUUAACCCAGAAGCUCCUGUCAAACAUCAUACUGCGUCUCCUUAACUGAAUUUGGUCACUUGCACAUCCCGAGACAAUAAUGGAAGGGGAUUAUGCUUUUGAACUUAUAGUUAAGUUUCACAGCAUAUUACCAGAGCAAGGAGUAGACUUUUCAUUUUGCAAUAAAUAUAGCCUACUUGGUAUAUGUUUGGUUAACGGAGUAAUUCUAAGAUUAGUUAUCAAGAGAAGGAGGAGAUAAGCAAGGAGAUCCGGCUGUAGAGGACUGGGAAUUACAUCUAGUCAUGUAUAUGGAGCAUGAUGGAGGAUAAUGUGAGAAAAAGAAUGCAUACAUAGGAGUUCCUGUUGUGGCACAGCGGAAACGAAUCUGACUAGGAACCAUGAGGUUGCGGGUUCGAUCUCUGGCCUCCUCAGUGGGUUAAGGAUCCCGCAUUGCCGUGAGCUGUGGUGUAGGUCACAGACAUGAUUCGGAUCCUGCAUUGCUGUGGCUGUGGUGUAGGCUGGCGGCUACAGCUCCGAUUCACCCCUAGUCUGGGACCUCCAUAUGCUGCAAGAGCAGCCCUAAAAAGAACAACAACAACAAAAAAGAAUGCAUAUAUAUGUGUGUGACUGGGUCACUUUGCUGUACAGUAGAAAAAUGACAGAACGCUGUAAACCAGCUAUAAUGGAAAAAAUAAAAAUCAUUUAAAAGAAUUAAAAAAAAAAAAGAGACAGAAGGAGGAGUGGAUGUUAAAGAGGCAGCAGAACUUUCACCAAUCAAGGAUGCUUGCUGGUGUAUUGUCUACACAACACUGCUAAUUCAGAAAUAACUCAAAUAUUCCUUAAUAGAGGGUUGACUGAACACACCUGCUAUGUCAUACAGGGGAGACAAUGUCACAAUGCUCUUCAUUCAUCCAAAUGCUUAUUCACUGAAGGCCUAUUACAAACCCGACAGUGUUUUAUGCACUAACAAUACAGCAGGGAAGAAAACAGUUAAAACCCUGCCUUCCUGGUGUAUUCAUACUGAUUGGGUUAAAAGAAAACAAAUAGAGACUGCAGAAUAUAAAGCUAAUGGAUGUAAAUGCUGUAGGAAAAGCAAAAUGGAUCAAGGAAUGGAUGACUGGAAACUACCUGCUUCCAAAUUAUCAUCAAAGAACAACUUCCAAAGACCUAUGAAAGCACACUGCAAAUGAAAAUAGAAACUCACUUAGUAGAGUCAGAAGAGACAUUUCUCACCAAAAUUUGCCUCCUACAAGAAAUACCUAACUCAUGAUUCAAUAAAAUCCAAGGAGACAUGGCGCUUCAGAGCAGAAAUAAAGUGUAAAUCUGAGAUAUGUAAAGUGUUUUUUUUUUUUUGGCUUUCUAUGUCUCAUUACAGUAACAUAAAUUUAAUUUACUUAUUACUUUCUAAACUGUUAACUUCAUGGUUAUGACCUUUGACGCUAUGUAAAAUAAAGCAAUAUUUGCCCUUGACGUUUAGCUACAUGUGUGAAUAUUAUUUUCUUUUUCUUCUUUUUUUUUUUUUUGUUAUUUGUCUUUUUAGGACCACAAAUGCAGCAUAUGAAGGUUCCCAGGCUUGGGGUCUAAUCUGAGCUGUAGCCACGGGCCUACGCCAGAGCCACAGCAACACCAGAUCCGAGCCACAUCUACGACCUACAUACACCACAGCUCACAGCAAUGCUGCAUCCUUAAUCCACUGAGCAAGGCCAGGGAUCGAACCCACAACCUCAUGGUUCCUAGUCAGAUUCGUUUCCGCUGCACCAUGAUGGGAACUCCUUUUUUGUGUGUGUGAAUAUUAGAUAUAUAAACUGGAUAAAAGUAACUUUACUUCAAAUUGAUACACUCCACAAGCUGUUGUUAGUUUUCCCAUCAACAAGCAAAGACUGUAAAGAAGGUAUGCUCGAGAUGAAUUUACCUGAGAAAAUUGGCAUAAGACAAAUAGAAGCCUCUUUUUCCUAGAAAUCUUAUUUAAUUCAUUAUUUAUUCACUCUUCUAAUCCUUCAUCUUUUAUGGCAAGUAACUUUAGUAUUAUCAAAUUUUAAAAGACUUAAAAAAUGAAGUAUGAUUACCUUAGUAUGAUUUUAAUAUUACUUUUUUAAUUUUUAUUUUUUUAUUUUUAUUAUUUAUUUACUUUUUUGUCUUUUUAGGGCUGAACCUGAGGCAUAUGGAGAUUCCCAAGCUAGACAUUGCAUCAGAGCUCCUGGGAACCUCCAUAUGCCACAGGAAACAGCCCUAGAAAAGCCAAAAAGACCAAAAAAAAAAAAAAAAAA